CGUUCCUGUCCCCAGGGGUGGCAGCAGCCCUGGAGGGUCCUGAGCCCUCGCCCUGGGUCACAGCCCUGGCCCAGCCCAAAGCUUUGGAUUGGAGCUUUGGUGGAAGCCUGGAGCUGAGUCACAUCCUCAGAGCAAUCCGACACAUCUCCACUUGUUCCAUGUGGAAAUAAUCCCAGGGCACAGAGCAUCCUUCUAUAGAAAACUGCCAACCCAGCUGCAAAAUCAGCCUUUUGUCAUGACAAAGCCCACCCCACCGUGGUGUUUUGUUCAGCUGUUGAGAUAUUCAGGAACGGACCAUGAGACAGAGCCACGAACAGCUUCAUUGUACAAAUGGUUCCCAGCAGGAGAAGUACUCCAGGUUUCUGGCGGAGCAGAAGUUAACUGGAACCCAAUGCAGAUCCUGGAGGAAUGGAGGAGGGAUCUGAGCCACAGCCAAGUGUGCACAAACCACCCAGAGACUCAGGGUGUGCAGGAAGGAGACGAAAGGGAAUAACUAAAAAGGAUGGAAAAAGCAGCCCAGGGAAUUGCUUGGUGGGAUUGGAGGACAAUAAACCCCAAACUGUGCUGUUCA
rnacentral:lncRNA from 1 species